AGAGUUUGAUCCUGGCUCAGGACGAACGCUGGCGGCGCGCUUAACACAUGCAAGUCGAGCGAUGAAAUUUUAACAGAUCCCUUCGGGGAGAAGAUAAAAUGGAUUAGCGGCGGACGGGUGAGUAACACGUGAGUAACCUGCCUUAGACAUUGGGAUAGCCUCGGGAAACCGGGAUUAAUACCGAAUAAAAUCACAGAUACACAUGUAUCCAUGAUCAAAACUCCGGUGGUCUAAGAUGGACUCGCGUCCCAUUAGCUAGUUGGUGAGGUAACGGCCCACCAAGGCGACGAUGGGUAGCCGGCCUGAGAGGGUGAACGGCCACAUUGGAACUGAGAAACGGUCCAAACUCCUACGGGAGGCAGCAGUGGGGAAUAUUGCACAAUGGAGGGAACUCUGAUGCAGCGACGCCGCGUGAACGAAGAAGGCUUUCGAGUCGUAAAGUUCUUUUAUAUGGGAAGAUAAUGACGGUACCAUAAGAAAAAGCCCCGGCUAACUACGUGCCAGCAGCCGCGGUAAUACGUAGGGGGCUAGCGUUGUCCGGAAUCACUGGGCGUAAAGGGUUCGCAGGCGGAAAUGCAAGUCAGAUGUAAAAGGCAGUAGCUUAACUACUGUAAGCAUUUGAAACUGCAUAUCUUGAGAAGAGUAGAGGUAAGUGGAAUUUUUAGUGUAGCGGUGAAAUGCGUAGAUAUUAAAAAGAAUACCGGUGGCGAAGGCGACUUACUGGGCUCAUUCUGACGCUGAGGAACGAAAGCGUGGGUAGCAAACAGGAUUAGAUACCCUGGUAGUCCACGCUGUAAACGAUGAGUGCUAGGUGUCGGCUUAAGUCGGUGCCGCAGUUAACACAAUAAGCACUCCGCCUGGGGAGUACGUGCGCAAGCAUGAAACUCAAAGGAAUUGACGGGGACCCGCACAAGCAGCGGAGCAUGUGGUUUAAUUCGAAGCAACGCGAAGAACCUUACCAGGGCUUGACAUACUGAGGACCGGUAUAGAGAUAUACCCUCUUCUUCGGAAGCCUCAAUACAGGUGGUGCAUGGUUGUCGUCAGCUCGUGUCGUGAGAUGUUGGGUUAAGUCCC
rnacentral:rRNA from 1 species